CUCAGACUGUCACUGGAUCAUCAAAAUGAAAAUCGUAAUUUGUGUUGUUUUUCUGCUUUUAUUAAAUCUAUCAAACUGCUUUGCACAGUCAGAAGGAAACUUUCUGAUGUAUAGUGUGCAUUAUAAUCAAUGCAUGACAAACAACCUGGAGCAACUUUCUGUCUGUGACCCACACACUGACUCACAACAGUUGCGCUGGAUUUCAAAGGAUCGCAUUUUGAAUAUUUACACAAAGAAAUGCCUUGGAGUUGGUAAUAACACUGUGGGUAAAAUGCUGCAGUGGUUGAUGUGUGAAGAUGACAAUGUUUUGGAGAUGUGGGAAUGCCAGAGCGAAUUAUUGCUUCGACUAAAGGAUGAAUCUCUGUAUCUUUCUGUAAAUGAUAAUGGUGUGCCACUCAUCUCUAAAGACACUGAAACAAAGAGUCAAUGGACAAUUCAUGGAACAGAAAACAACAUUUGCUCUCGGCCUUAUGAAGAAUUAUACACAAUUGAUGGAAAUGCACCUGGGCGUCCAUGCCACUUUCCUUUCCGAUAUAACAAUAUAUGGUAUGCAGAUUGUACCAAUAUUGAUUCCAGUAGUCCAUGGUGUGCAGUUGAGUCUGACUA